UGCUCCGGUGGCCUAAGUGAUUAGAGCGCCCGCCUCGGAUGCGGGACGUUGCGGGUUCGAACCCUGACCUCGUCAU